rnacentral:rRNA from 1 species
GUACACUCCUGCGGGAGGCAGCAGUGGGGAAUUUUGGACAAUGGGCGAAAGCCUGAUCCAGCAAUGCCGCGUGAGUGAAGAAGGCCUUCGGGUUGUAAAGCUCUUUUGUCAGGGAAGAAACGGUGAGAGCUAAUAUCUCUUGCUAAUGACGGUACCUGAAGAAUAAGCACCGGCUAACUACGUGCCAGCAGCCGCGGUAAUACGUAGGGUGCAAGCGUUAAUCGGAAUUACCGGGCGUAAAGCGUGCGCAGGCGGUUUUGUAAGUCUGAUGUGAAAUCCCCGGGCUCAACCUGGGAAUUGCAUUGGAGACUGCAAGGCUAGAAUCUGGCAGAGGGGGGUAGAAUUCCACGUGUAGCAGUGAAAUGCGUAGAUAUGUGGAGGAACACCGAUGGCGAAGGCAGCCCCCUGGGUCAAGAUUGACGCUCAUGCACGAAAGCGUGGGGAGCAAACAGGAUUAGAAACCCCUGUAGUCC